GAUGAACGCUGGCGGCGUGCCUAAUUCAUGCAAGUCGAGCGAACAGACGAAGAGCUUGCUCCUCUGACGUUAGCGGCGGCCGGGUGAGUAACACGUGGAUAACCUACCUAUAAGACUGGGAUAACUUCGGGAAACCGGAGCUAAUACCGGAUAAUAUAUUGAACCGCAUGGUUCAAUAAUGAAAGACGGUUUUGCUGUCACUUAUAGAUGGAUCCGCGCCGCACUAGCUAGUUGGUAAGGUAACGGCUUACCCAGGCGACGACGCGUAGCCGACCUGGGAGGGUGAUCGGCCACACGGGAACGGAGACACGGUCCAGACUCCUACGGGAGGCAGCAGUAGGGAAUCUGCCGCAAUGGGCGCAAGCCUGACGGAGCAACGCCGCGUGAGUGAUGAAGGUCUUCGGAUCGUAAAACUCUGUUAUUAGGGAAGAACAAAUGUGUAAGUAACUAUGCACGUCUUGACGGUACCUAAUCAGAAAGCCAGGGCUAACUAGGUG
rnacentral:rRNA from 1 species